rnacentral:rRNA from 1 species
GACAGAGGGGGCAAGCGUUGCUCGGAAUUACUGGGCGUAAAGGGCGCGUAGGCGGGAUGGCAAGUCGGUCGUGAAAUCCCUCGGCUCAACUGAGGAUCGUCGAUCGAUACUGCCGUUCUUGAGGAUUGCAGAGGAGACUGGAAUUCCCGGUGUAGCGGUGAAAUGCGUAGAUAUCGGAAGGAACAUCAGUGGCGAAAGCGGCUUCCUGGACCAGUACCGACGUUCAGGCACGAAAGCGUGGGAGCAAACAGG